CAGUCGAGGGGCAGCACAGAUUGCUUGCAAUCAGGUGGCGACCGGCGCACGGGUGCGUAACGCGUAUACAAUCUACCUUAUAGAGGGGGAUAGCCCAGAGAAAUUUGGAUUAAUACCCCAUAGUAUUAUUGAAUAGCAUUAUUUAAUAAUUAAACAUUUAUGGCUAUAAGAUGAGUAUGCGUUCUAUUAGCUAGUAGGUAAGGUAACGGCUUACCUAGGCUACGAUAGAUAGGGGUCCUGAGAGGGAGAUCCCCCACACUGGUACUGAGACACGGACCAGACUCCUACGGGAGGCAGCAGUGAGGAAUAUUGGACAAUGGGCGAGAGCCUGAUCCAGCCAUGCCGCGUGCAGGAAGACGGCCCUAUGGGUUGUAAACUGCUUUUAUAGAGGAAGAAACACUCCUACGUGUAGGAAUUUGACGGUACUCUACGAAUAAGGAUCGGCUAACUCCGUGCCAGCAGCCGCGGUAAUACGGAGGAUCCAAGCGUUAUCCGGAAUCAUUGGGUUUAAAGGGUCCGUAGGCGGGACAAUCAGUCAGCGGUGAAAGUCUGUGGCUCAACCAUAGAAUUGCCAUUGAUACUGUUGUUCUUGAAUACUUAUGAAGUGGUUGGAAUAUGUAGUGUAGCGGUGAAAUGCAUAGAUAUUACAUAGAACACCGAUUGCGAAGGCAGAUCACUAAUAAGUCAUUGACGCUGAUGGACGAAAGCGUAGGUAGCGAACAGGAUUAGAUACCC
rnacentral:rRNA from 1 species